rnacentral:rRNA from 1 species
AUGUCGUUAAUUUUCUUCUUCUUCUUCUUCUCCCUCCCCCUCCACCACGCACUGGACCCAGAGAGUUUACUCAAUGUUGAGUACAACGUCUCGAGCCAUUCGUUCACCCGCGUGUCUGGCCUUUUGUCUAGGCAGUUUCUUGCCCCGAGGCGGGCUUUUUUUCAAGCCCGUCCCAACCGGUUUAUCAUGAUAAAUAUGGUUGACAACGUGCCUGGGCGUACAGCCACCCUCGCCCUGUGCGACGAUGACCUGUACGUCCCGGGCUUCAAAGACACCACUCUCCAGUGGAACCAUUUCAAACGAUUCGAGCCAAUCGUGCCUGGCUCCAGGGAACUGCCCUUUGAACACGAUUACCCAAACCUUCUUCCCUUGUUCCCAAACGGCACCAAAAGAUCACACAUAGACCUGUAUGAAGUUCCCUUGGGCAAAGCCGCCACCUUACGUGCAUUCCGGACGUUGGCGAGCUAUAAUCCUGGCACCACGCCAAGGCCGCACCUUAGAUCCGCGCUGGUAACACUAAUCGUCACCUUUUGUGAAGGACACAGAUUUGACCAGCUAAACAGACGACUGAAGAACGAGUGGGACAACCCUAGACCAAUCUACAUGCUUGAAGAGGAGGCACCGUACGUUGUGCAAUGGGGCUCGCUGUCUCGUGCGCUCCAAUGGUGGGAGGAGAGUGGUUGCAAAAGUUGGACCAAGGACAAAGACGACAUUAGAGAAUUCGACAAGAUCCAUGCCAACAGCCCCCUGGCAGCUAGAGAUGUGCUGCUCUUCUUACAAAGGACCAGGAACUUCAAGUUACAGUGA